AGCCUGUGAUGGUAUUCAGAGUAGUGGACUGAAGGGAUUUCUGAAAGAAAAAAAAGUAAUGCUGAGGCU
ensembl:snoRNA